rnacentral:rRNA from 1 species
GCAAGUCGAGCGGUAACAGAGGUAGCUUGCUACCUGCUGACGAGCGGCGGACGGGUGAGUAACGCGUAGGAAUCUACCCAGUAGCGGGGGAUAAGCCAGAGAAAUUUGGUCUAAUACCGCAUACGCCCUUCGGGGGAAAGCAGGGGAUCUUCGGACCUUGCACUAUUGGAUGAGCCUGCGUGAGAUUAGCUAGUUGGUGAGGUAAUGGCUCACCAAGGCGACGAUCUCUAGCUGGUCUGAGAGGAUGAUCAGCCACACUGGAACUGAGACACGGUCCAGACUCCUACGGGAGGCAGCAGUGGGGAAUAUUGCACAAUGGGCGCAAGCCUGAUGCAGCCAUGCCGCGUGUGUGAAGAAGGCCCUAGGGUUGUAAAGCACUUUCAGCAGUGAGGAAAGGUACGUAGUUAAUACCUGCGUACUGUGACGUUAACUGCAGAAGAAGCACCGGCUAACUCCGUGCCAGCAGCCGCGGUAAUACGGAGGGUGCGAGCGUUAAUCGGAAUUACUGGGCGUAAAGCGCGCGUAGGUGGAUUGGUCAGUCAGAUGUGAAAGCCCA